UGUUUUUCUGUAGUUCAUACAUGCGAAGACACUGCGAUGGGAAACACCGUAGCGAAUCACAGCACUUUCCCAGAGGAACACGGGACUCAUCAGGUAAAAGUUACUGGAAUAAAAAACCUCGGCUCUACUUGCUAUAUGAACUCUUUGAUCCAGUCCUUAUUUGUGACCCCUGCGUUCAGGAUCAAAAUCAACGAAUGUCAAAAUGUGGAUGAAAGCAUGGCGUCUGAUCUGCAGGACAUUUUCAUCAGAUCAGAUGCAUUGCGCUGGUGAGUACAGCAUGUUAUAGCAGCAUGUUCUGGGGUUUCAUCAGCCCUGCUUCCCCUCAUCGUGAUCAGAUGCAUUGCGCUGGUGAGUACAGCAUGUUAUAGCAGCAUGUUCUGGGGUUUCAUCAGCCCUGCUUCCCCUCAUCCUGAUCAGAUGCAUUGCGCUGGUGAGUACAGCAUGUUAUAGCAGCAUGUUCUGGGGUUUCAUCAGCCCUGCCUCCCCUCAUCCUGAUCAGAUGCAUUGGGCUGGUGAGUACAGCAUGUUAUAGCAGCACGUUCUGGGGUUUCAUCAGCCCUGCUUCCCCUCAUCCUGAUCAGAUGCAUUGCGCUGGUGAGUACAGCAUGUUAUAGCAGCAUGUUCUGGGGUUUCAUCAGCCCUGCUUCCCCUCAUCCUGAUCAGAUGCAUUGGGCUGGUGAGUACAGCAUGUUAUAGCAGCAUGUUCUGGGGUUUCAUCAGCCCUGCUUCCCCUC